CCUACGGGUGGCUGCCGUAAGGAAUAUUGCACAAUGGGGGAAACCCUGAUGCAGCGACGCCGCGUGAGCGAUGAAGGCCUUCGGGUCGUAAAGCUCUUUUCUGUGGGAUGAAACAAGACAGUACCACAGGAACAAGUCUCGGCUAACUACGUGCCAGCAGCCGCGGUAAAACGUAGGAGGCGAGCGUUAUCCGGAAUUACUGGGCGUAAAGGGCAAGUAGGCGGUAGGAUAAGUCGGGCAUAAAAUCUCUCAGCUCAACUGAGAGGGGUUGUUCGAAACUAUCCCACUAGAGGGCAGGAGAGGAAAGCGGAAUUCCCAGUGUAGCAGUGGAAUGCUUAGAUAUUGGGAGGAACACCAGUGGCGAAAGCGGCUUUCUGGUCUGCACCUGACGCUAAUAGGCGAAAGCUAGGGGAGCGAACGGGAUUAGAUACCCCGGUAGUC
rnacentral:rRNA from 1 species